rnacentral:tRNA from 1 species
UGGCUCAGAUGGUAAAGCAUCUGUCUGAAAUGCAGGAGACCCAGGUUUGAUCCCUGG